UACGGGGGGGGCAAGCGUUGUUCGGAAUUACUGGGCGUAAAGGGCUCGUAGGCGGCCAACUAAGUCAGACGUGAAAUCCCUCGGCUUAACCGGGGAACUGCGUCUGAUACUGGAUGGCUUGAGUUUGGGAGAGGGAUGCGGAAUUCCAGGUGUAGCGGUGAAAUGCGUAGAUAUCUGGAAGAACACCAGUGGCGAAGGCGGUCAACUGGCCCGUAACUGACGCUCCGGCACGAAAGCGUGGGUAGCAAACAGG
rnacentral:rRNA from 1 species